AUUGAACGCUGGCGGCGGCCUAACACAUGCAAGUCGAACGGUAACAGGAAGAAGCUUGCUUCUUUGCUGACGAGUGGCGGACGGGUGAGUAAUGUCUGGGAAACUGCCUGAUGGAGGGGGAUAACUACUGGAAACGGUAGCUAAUACCGCAUAACGUCGCAAGACCAAAGAGGGGGACCUUCGGGCCUCUUGCCAUCGGAUGUGCCCAGAUGGGAUUAGCUAGUAGGUGGGGUAACGGCUCACCUAGGCGACGAUCCCUAGCUGGUCUGAGAGGAUGACCAGCCACACUGGAACUGAGACACGGUCCAGACUCCUACGGGAGGCAGCAGUGGGGAAUAUUGCACAAUGGGCGCAAGCCUGAUGCAGCCAUGCCGCGUGUAUGAAGAAGGCCUUCGGGUUGUAAAGUACUUUCAGCGGGGAGGAAGGGAGUAAAGUUAAUACCUUUGCUCAUUGACGUUACCCGCAGAAGAAGCACCGGCUAACUCCGUGCCAGCAGCCGCGGUAAUACGGAGGGUGCAAGCGUUAAUCGGAAUUACUGGGCGUAAAGCGCACGCAGGCGGUUUGUUAAGUCAGAUGUGAAAUCCCCGGGCUCAACCUGGGAACUGCAUCUGAUACUGGCAAGCUUGAGUCUCGUAGAGGGGGGUAGAAUUCCAGGUGUAGCGGUGAAAUGCGUAGAGAUCUGGAGGAA
rnacentral:rRNA from 1 species